rnacentral:rRNA from 1 species
AGAUUGAACGCUAGUCGGCAUGCCUAACACAUGCAAGGUCGAACGGUAACGAGGCCCUUCGGGGUGCUGACGAGUGGCGGACGGGUGAGUAAUGCGUUAGGAAUCUACCCACGAGUGGGGGGAUAAGCCCGGAGUAAAUCCCGGAUUAAUACCGUCAUAUGCCCUACGGGGUAAAGACGGGGGUAGUCGUAAGACCUCGCGCUGGUGGAUGAGCCUACGUCCG